CACGCCCGUAAAAUAAGCAAUUGAUGAGUCCGGCAUUUCAUGGAUGAAAUGCAAGGUGAAGCUUGGCCAUGGAUGGCCUAUCUUCACCACUGACGCUCACAUCAAUUGAUUAUUUGCAGGAUUU
rfam:Pseudoalteromonas ulvae strain TC14 Contig_113, whole genome shotgun sequence.